AGUGAACGCUGGCGGUAGGCCUAACACAUGCAAGUCGAACGGCAGCACAGUAAGAGCUUGCUCUUACGGGUGGCGAGUGGCGGACGGGUGAGGAAUACAUCGGAAUCUACUUUUUCGUGGGGGAUAACGUAGGGAAACUUAAGCUAAUACCGCAUACGACCUACGGGUGAAAGCAGGGGAUCUUCGGACCUUGCGCGAUUGAAUGAGCCGAUGUCGGAUUAGCUAGUUGGCGGGGUAAAGGCCCACCAAGGCGACGAUCCGUAGCUGGUCUGAGAGGAUGGUAGGCCACACUGGAACUGGGACACGGUCCAGACGCCUACGGGAGGGAGCAGUGGGGAAUAGGGGACAGUGGGCGCAAGCCUGACCCAGCCAUACCGCGUGUGUGAAGAAGGCCUUCGGGUUGUAAAGCCCGUUUGUUGGGAAAGAAAAGCAGCAGGUUAAUACCCCGCGGUUCUGACGGUACCCAAAGAAUAAGCACCGGCUAACUUCGUG
rnacentral:rRNA from 1 species